AGUAACGGCGAGUUGAAGCGGCAAAAGCUUCAAAUUUGAAAUCUGGCACCUUCGGUGUCCGAGUUGUAAUUUGAAGAAGGUAACUUUGGAGUUGGCUCUUGUCUAUGUUCCUUGGAACAGGACGUCACAGAGGGUGAGAAUCCCGUGCGAUGAGAUGCCCAAUUCUAUGUAAAGUGCUUUCGAAGAGUCGAGUUGUUUGGGAAUGCAGCUCUAAGUGGGUGGUAAAUUCCAUCUAAAGCUAAAUAUUGGCGAGAGACCGAUAGCGAACAAGUACAGUGAUGGAAAGAUGAAAAGAACUUUGAAAAGAGAGUGAAAAAGUACGUGAAAUUGUUGAAAGGGAAGGGCUUGAGAUCAGACUUGGUAUUUUGCGAUCCUUUCCUUCUUGGUUGGGUUCCUCGCAGCUUACUGGGCCAGCAUCGGUUUGGAUGGUAGGAUAAUGACUAAGGAAUGUGGCUCUACUUCGGUGGAGUGUUAUAGCCUUGGUUGAUACUGCCUGUCUAGACCGAGGACUGCGUCUUUUGACUAGGAUGUUGGCAUAAUGAUCUUAAGCCACCCGUCUUGAA
rnacentral:rRNA from 1 species